GGUGAAUGCAUAGAUAUGACACAGAACGCCGAUUGCGAAGGCAGCUUACUAAGCCAUUAUUGACGCUGAGGCACGAAAGCGUGGGUAGCGAACAGGAUUAGAUACCCUGGUAGUCACGCCGUAAACGAUGUUCACUCGCUGUCUGCGAUACACAGUAGGCGGCUUAGCGAAAGCAUUAAGUGAACCACCUGGGGAGUACGAUCGCAAGGUUGAAACUCAAAGGAAUUGACGGGGGCCCGCACAAGCGGAGGAACAUGUGGUUUAAUUCGAUGAUACGCGAGGAACCUUACCUGGGCUUAAAUGUAGAUUGCAUGAGGUGGAAACACUUCUUUACUUCGGUACUAUUUACAAGGUGCUGCAUGGUUGUCGUCAGCUCGUGCCGUGAGGUGUCGGGUUAAGUCCCAUAACGAGCGCAACCCCUAUCGUUAGUUGCCAUCAGGUUAUGCUGGGGACUCUAGCGAGACUGCCACCGUAAGGUGAGAGGAAGGUGGGGAUGACGUCAAAUCAGCACGGCCCUUAUGUCCAGGGCUACACACGUGUUACAAUGGCCGAUACAAAGGGCAGCUACCAGGCAACUGGAUGCUAAUCUCUAAAGUCGGUCCCAGUUCGGAUUGGAGUCUGCAACCCGACUCCAUGAAGUUGGAUUCGCUAGUAAUCGGAUAUCAGCAAUGAUCCGGUGAAUACGUUCCCGGGCCUUGUACACACCGCCCGUCAAACCAUGGGAGCUGGGAGUGCCUGAAGUCUGUGACCGCAAGGAGCGGCCUAGGGUAAAACUAGUGACUGGGGUUAAGUCGUAACAAGGUACC
rnacentral:rRNA from 1 species